UACGUAGGGCGCAAGCGUUAUCCGGAAUUAUUGGGCGUAAAGAGCUCGUAGGCGGUUUGUCGCGUCUGCCGUGAAAGUCCGGGGCUUAACCCCGGAUCUGCGGUGGGUACGGGCAGACUAGAGUGCAGUAGGGGAGACUGGAAUUCCUGGUGUAGCGGUGAAAUGCGCAGAUAUCAGGAGGAACACCGAUGGCGAAGGCAGGUCUCUGGGCAUUAACUGACGCUGAGGAGCGAAAGCAUGGGGAGCGAACAGG
rnacentral:rRNA from 1 species